UUCAAGUUUCUAAAACCUACAGUAGUAGAUGUAAUGGUGAAAUUAUAAUGUACAAAUAUAGUUGAAAUGCAAUUUACUUUUAUGUCCAAGUUUAUUAGAGAUUAAAUGUGUCUCCCAACUUUUGAAGCUCAACCUACCAUGACUUCAUCAUUUUUUAUUUUUCCAUAGCACAACGUAAUGUUUCAUAGUAGUCAUGCAAAAAGGAAAAGAAGAAAAGGAAGUUUGGGUCCUGGGUAAAUCAAAUACCAAGUAGUGGAGAACUUGAUGCUCAUAUGAUACAUAUAUGUGGUUUCUGAUCAGCAUUUCCGUGAUCCACUCCUGGAAAUUUUGCUUUCAGAUUUUGAAAUUACUUGAAGUUAUUUACAAUACUGAAACUUUAAUGCUGCACCCUCUCUGACUUUUGGCUAUGAGAGGGAGGAUUUGAACAUUUGGAGCAUUGCUGGACUAAAACUCAUAUGUUGUUUCAAGUUGAUCUCAUUAUUUUUCGGAAGAGAAAAGUUAAUGUGUAGAAAUUUUCUUAAAAGCUAGGACUAAUUUAAUAAAUUUUCCUCAUUCCGUCAAAGUGUACCAAAAAAUACGUGAACCACAAUUUAUUUUUUCCUUUUGUCUAGUGAAAAAGUAUUUAUUUAUU